rnacentral:rRNA from 1 species
GGGGUCAGUUAUUACUUGAUAUACACAUGCAAGUCUCUACACCCCCGUGAAAACGCCCUUAAAUCCCUCUAAGGGAUAAGGAGCUGGUAUCAGGCACAAAAAUUAGCCCAAAACACCUAGCUUCGCCACACCCACACGGGAUUUCAGCAGUGAUUAACAUUGAAUAUAGGCGCCAGCCUGAAUCAGUUAAAGUAAAAAGAGCCGGCAAAUCUGGUGCCAGCCGCCGCGGUUACACCAUGUGACUCAAACUGACCCCCUUCGGCGUAAAGCGUGAUUAAAGUUCUACCAUACUGCAAUUAAACUAGAAUUAAGCUGUGACACGCUUAUUCCUAAGAAGCCCUUAAACGAAAGUUAUUGCA